UACGGAGGGGGCUAGCGUUGUUCGGAAUUACUGGGCGUAAAGGGCGCGUAGGCGGCGCGAUAAGUUGGGCGUGAAAGGCCCGGGCUCAACCCGGGGACUGCGCUUGAUACUGUCGCGCUGUGAGUCCGGGAGAGGAUGGCGGAAUUCCCAGUGUAGAGGUGAAAUUCGUAGAUAUUGGGAAGAACACCGGUGGCGAAGGCGGCGCUCUGGACCGAGACUGACGCUGAGGCGCGAAAGCGUGGGGAGCAAACAGG
rnacentral:rRNA from 1 species